GACGAACGCUGGCGGCGUGCUUAACACAUGCAAGUCGAACGAUGACGACCGAGCUUGCUCGGUCUGAUUAGUGGCGAACGGGUGAGUAACACGUGAGCAACCUGCCCUUCACUCUGGGAUAACCUCGGGAAAUCGGGGCUAAUACCGGAUAUGAGCUCCUGUCGCAUGGCGGGUGUUGGAAAGUUUUUCGGUGAAGGAUGGGCUCGCGGCCUAUCAGUUUGUUGGUGAGUAGUGGCUCACCAAGGCGAUGACGGGUAGCCGGCCUGAGAGGGCGACCGGCCACACUGGGACUGAGACACGGCCCAGACUCCUACGGGAGGCAGCAGUGGGGAAUAUUGCACAAUGGGCGAAAGCCUGAUGCAGCGACGCCGCGUGAGGGAUGACGGCCUUCGGGUUGUAAACCUCUUUCAGCAGGGAAGAAGCGAAAGUGACGGUACCUGCAGAAGAAGCGCCGGCUAACUACGUG
rnacentral:rRNA from 1 species